AGCUGGCUUAGCAUUGAAUUUCGUUAAGGUAUUUUGAACUUAGAACACAUUCUUUAUUCAUUAUUAUAUUCCAGUUCUGGUCUUACACUUUUUUCAAAUAUUAAACAUAUUUGUAAAAUUAAUACUCUUCGUUUUUCAUACAAAACAAUAUAUAAACGACCAACAAAAAAAACAUAAAUACAUCUAGUAGAUAUAAUUUCUACAGUAUUAUUAUCGAUAAAUUGCAAAAUGUGGAUAUUUCGCGUACGUUACGAAAUGAUGACCAACUAUUGUUCGACCGAACUGAGAAGCUGGACGAGGGAGCCAAAACGUUGGGAGAAUUUGGGAAAGGGUAUGAUUGGAGUGCUGGCAAAGCUGCCAAUGCGUAAUAACUGUCAGCCGGAAUUUGUGCGUCUUUACGCUAGUGCACCAAGUGAUCUAUGACAAGAAAGGAAUGCACACUUCAAAAUAAAGUUAAUAGUUUAUGUACCUGAGAUGAGGGAUGUAAGAUGUGUUUAUGAAAAUGUAAAUAUAUAUAUGUUUUAUCAUAGAUAUGCAAA